rnacentral:rRNA from 1 species
GCCGAACCGUGCGACCGUUGUUCGGAAUCACUGGGCUUAAAGGGCGCGUAGGCGGCAUAGCAAGUCCGGGGUGAAAGCCCUCGGCUCAACCGGGGAAGUGCCUUGGAAACUGCUGUGCUCGAGGGAGGUAGGGGUCGAGGGAACUUCUGGUGGAGCGGUGAAAUGCGUUGAUAUCAGAAGGAACGCCGGUGGCGAAAGCGCUCGACUGGACCUUUUCUGACGCUGAGGCGCGAAAGCUAGGGGAGCAAACGGG